rnacentral:lncRNA from 1 species
GUGACUACUUGCUUGUGUCUGGCUUCGUGCCCUCAGCAUCUGGCCCGUGGGAUCGCUUCAGCUCAUCUCUCCGCUCGUCUGCUCUGUUGCCGGAACCUCCUUUAUACGUGCGGCGUGAAUGUAUCCGUUUGCUCAUCCAUUCUUCUGUCGGCGGCCAUUCAGGCUGUUUCCAGUUCGGCCGUUGUGAACAACGCUGCUACGAUCAGCGAGACACAGGUUUUUAUGGGGACACACGUUUUUAUUUCUGUUGGUUGAAUACCUCGGAGCUGAAUGGCUGGGUCACAGGGUAGGCCUGUAGUUACCCUCACACGAAGCUGCCGAAGUGUUUUCCAAAGGGGUGGAACCACCUUGUGCUCCCGACAGCCACGAAUGAGCGGUCAGUUUCUCCACACCCCGUUGCCCACAUUUAGUGUCGCCUGGCUGCUUAAUUUUAGCCAGUACAGUGGGUUGGAAGGGCUACCUCACUGAGGGGGGGUGAAAUCCGCAUUUCCCUAAAGGCUAAAGAUGUGAAGCAUCUUUUCACAUGCUCACUGGUCGUGCGUCCAUCGCCUCCUGAUUUUGAUUUUGCCCUCUUCCCGUCCUGCAGCGUCCCUCCCCUGCCACCCACACCCUCAGUACCCUCUUGUUUUAGGGUACUGAAACAGUCUCCAAACUAGUCUCUUGCACUCAGUGGCUGCUCCAUUGUGCCGGGCGGCCCUUCCUGAACACAUCACGCAAGGCUCUAAAGGCUGCUAGGGCUCCCCAAGUCUGCAGGAUGGGAGCCCACACUUCUCAGCCUGCCAUUGUCUGUACUUCCGGCUCCUGGCCCCCCAGCCUUUCUCUCCUGCCUCUCCUCACAGUCUCCCAAGCCCCACUCCUGCUCCACGUCUUGAAGACCCAGAAUAUCUUCUUCUCUUCCUUCUUACGAUUGGAGGGACUGGCUCAUAAGAAUUCACGACUGAAGAUGCCACGGUAGACAGAGGACUCAGUCAUCAGUGUCCCUAACCUCCUCACAAAGCUCUCCUCCAUUUCUUUUCUCCACCUCCUUCUCCUCGUGCUUUUCUUCCUCCUUCCCAAAGAUCCCCUCUGCAAAUGCAGCCCUCGCUGUGCCUCCUUUAGAAAAGGACUUCAGGGGCGCCUGGGUGGCUCAGUGGGUUAAGCGUCUGACUUCCGCUCAGGUCAUGACCUCGUGGUUUGUGGGUUCGAGCCCUGCAUGGGGCUCUGUGCUGACAGCUCAGAGCCUGGAGCCUGCUUUGGAUUCUGUGUCUCUCUCUGCCCCUCCCCUGUUCUGUGUGUGUGUCUCUCUUUCUCAAAAAUAAAUCAACAUUAAAAAAAAAAAAAAAAGAAAGG